CGCGCAGGCGGUCGUUCAAGUCGAGUGUGAAAGUCCCCGGCUCAACUGGGGAGGGUCACUUGAUACUGAUCGACUGGAAGGCAGGAGAGGGAAGCGGAAUUCCCGGUGUAGUGGUGAAAUGCGUAGAUAUCGGGAGGAACACCAGUGGCGAAGGCGGCUUCCUGGCCUGUUCUUGACGCUGAGGCGCGAAAGCUAGGGGAGCAAACG
rnacentral:rRNA from 1 species